UUUUAAAGGACAAAGAGGGCAAUGGAUAUCACACAUGGCACAUGUCUCUGAAACGCAAGUUUAAAUUUGAACGGACACCUUUGGCUGAUGUUGAAGAAGUGAAAAGACUUAAACAGAAGUUUGGUCAUUCAAAAAAGUCUCAGGAACCUGAAAAAAGCACUUGCAAACAAAUGAAAAGGCCUGUGACACAGCCAGAUGCUCGUAUUGUUGAAGAGCGAAUGAGGAGGACCUUUGCCUGGAGGCGUAAGGAGAUUAUUGGUGGGAUGACUGUUGAAGAUGCUGUCAACAAAUAUCCGUUUUUGAAGAGUUCA